rnacentral:rRNA from 1 species
AUUGAACGCUGGCGGCAGGCCUAACACAUGCAAGUCGAACGAGUGGCGGACGGGUGAGUAAUGUCUGGGAAACUGCCCGAUGGAGGGGGAUAACUACUGGAAACGGUAGCUAAUACCGCAUACCAUCGGAUGUGCCCAGAUGGGAUUAGCUAGUAGGUGGGGUAAAGGCUCACCUAGGCGACGAUCCCUAGCUGGUCUGAGAGGAUGACCAGCCACACUGGAACGUGGACCCGGUCCAGACUCCUACGGGAGGCAGCAGUGGGGAAUAUUGCACAAUGGGCGCAAGCCUGAUGCAGCCCUGCCGCGUGUAUGAAGAAGGCCUUCGGGUUGUAAAGUACUUUCAGCGGGGAGGCGUUACCCGCAGAAGAAGCAUCGGCUAACUCCGUGCCAGCAGCCGCGGUAAUUC